rnacentral:rRNA from 1 species
AUGGCGACCAUGGCGUCGUCGCUCUGCCUCUGCCCCGCAGGCGCUCUCGUCUCCCCCAGUACCACGCGGAGCCGCCGCUCCUGCGCACCAAGCCUCCGGUCCGCCAAUCGCCAGCGAGGUGCUGCGCUGAGGCUGUGUAGCGCACGCCCUAGCGCUCCGGCCCUGAGCCGGUGGUGGGCCACGGAGCUCACCCCGGAGGAGCUCCCAACGGAGGAGACCGACGCGCCGACCACCGGGCACGGCCGGGAGGAGCUGGAGGCCAUAUGGAACGCGCUCGUCGCCGAGCCCCUCCGGCCCGUCCUGCUCGCACUGCGCGAGAUCAGAGACCGCGGCCACUUCUUCCGCUGCCGCAGCUACCACGCCGGGAUCGUCGCCGGCCCAUUGUUGAUGAUUGCUGGUUUCUGCCAGCUAGGUAAAUUAGUACCAACCCUGUUCGUGGAUAUAUAUUCUACAAGUUAA